rnacentral:rRNA from 1 species
UUUGAACGCUGGCGGAAUGCUUUACACAUGCAAGUCGAACGGCAGCACGGGGGCAGCCCUGGUGGCGAGUGGCGAACGGGUGAGUAAUACAUCGGAACGUGCCCGGUCGUGGGGGAUAACGUAGCGAAAGUUACGCUAAUACCGCAUACGAUCUGAGGAUGAAAGCGGGGGACCUUCGGGCUUCGCGCGAUCGGAGCGGCCGAUGUCAGAUUAGGUAGUUGGUGGGGUAAAGGCCUACCAAGCCGACGAUCUGUAGCUGGUCUGAGAGGACGACCAGCCACACUGGGACUGAGACACGGCCCAGACUCCUACGGGAGGCAGCAGUGGGGAAUUUUGGACAAUGGGCGCAAGCCUGAUCCAGCCAUUCCGCGUGCAGGACGAAGGCCUUCGGGUUGUAAACUGCUUUUGUACGGAACGAAAAGGCUCUGGCUAAUACCUGGGGCUCAUGACGGUACCGUAAGAAUAAGCACCGGCUAACUACGUG